ACCGACACUGUCAGCUCCUAACGCCGCAGGUUCCUCCUGGUCCCCGAGGCCCCCGGUCGGGCGUUGCCUGCCCCGCGCGGGCGGCCGGGCCGAGGGACGAUGGUCAGUGGACGGACGGCGCCAGGGAGCAGUGCCCACGCGCGGCAGGGCGGUACCUUCAGGCCUCCAGGUGUCAUCGAACACCCUUGUGCUUGCUGUCACCCGCUGCCUGUCUGCAGGAUCCCGGAUUCCGUAUCAGGGGACCGAAAUUAGUCGGAAAAUAGGAAGCAGGUGCUCGCUUGGAUGGAACCCUGACCCUGUGCUCACACUUGUAGGAGGAGGGCUCUGCAGGCCGCCUCCCGGAACGGGAGGUUCCCAAGCCACUGCACUUCGGAGGGGCUGUAAUUAGAGUUGCACAUUCAUUCAGUUCCCAGUAAAGUAGAACGUGCUCCAGCCAGUGAGGAAAAGGUGUUUUUAAAAAUUAGAUUGGCCGAGUGCGGUGGCUCAUGCCUUUUACCUCAACACUUUGGGAGACAAAGGUGGGAGGAUCACCUGUGGCCAGGAGUUCAAGACCAGCCUGGGCAACAGAGCCUGUCUCUGGGGAAGAAUAAAAAAAAAAAUUGAGCCUU
rnacentral:lncRNA from 1 species